CCUUGCUAUAGUAAUGAAGUGGCAGUAAACACUGAUAUGCAUAUAUCUCUGUAGGAGGAUAUGAAUCCUCUGUGUGCCUGCCCAGGACUGGAUACAGUGCUUCUAUUUUCAGUGUUUGACCCUCUCCCCAGCAACUGAGUUCCAUAGUAUCUGUACCAAUUUUCUCUCCUUGCAACAGUAUAUGAGCAGUGGAAGAGGUUUAUAGUACCAGACAUGUUUUCUUUCCACUAGGCUAAGAGAAGUUCAAUUAGGUAGCUCUUGGUCACCACUGAAAUAUAAUGGCAGUAUUGUACCUUCAGGGAUCUCUUUGGUGUUGGCCAUUGUGGGUUGUAUGUAUUACAUCUGGGUAGGACUGCUGAUUGUGGAAUCUGAACCACUGAAACUGCUAGAAGAAAACACAGGACGGGCAGCAGCAUCCUAUGAGGUACAGGAGUGUGACAGGCAGCAUCCUGUGAGGUACAGAAGUGGGGCAGGCAGCAUCCUGUGAGGUACAGAAUGUGACAGGCCACAUCCUGUGAGGUACAGGAGUGUGACAGGCAGCAGCAUCCUGUGAGGUACAGGAGUGUGACAGGCAGCAGCAUCCUGUGAGGUACAGGAGUGUGACAGGCAGCAGCAUCCUGUGAGGUACAGGAGUGUGACAGGCAGCAGCAUCCUGUGAGGUACAGGAGUGUGACAGGCAGCAGCAUCCUGUGAGGUACAGGAGUGUGACAGGCAGCAUCCUGUGAGGUAUAGGAGUGUGACAGGCCGCAUCCUGUGAGGUACAGGAGUGUGACAGGCAGCAUCCUGUGAGGUACAGGAGUGUGACAGGCAGCAUCCUGUGAGGUACAGGAGUGUGACAGGCAGCAGCAUCCUGUGAGGUACAGGUGUGGGACAGGCAGCAUCCUGUGAGGUACAGGAGUGUGACAGGCAGCAGCAUCCUGUGAGGUACAGGAGUGUGACAGGCAGCAGCAUCCUGUGAGGUACAGGAGUGUGACAGGCAGCAGCAUCCUGUGAGGUAUAGGAGUGUGACAG